CCUAGGGAGGCAGCAGUGGGGAAUUUGGACAAUGGGGGCAACCCUGAUCCAGCAAUGCCGCGUGAGUGAAGAAGGCCUUCGGGUUGUAAAGCUCUUUGUCAGGGAAGAAACGGUUCUGGAUAAUACCCAGGACUAAUGACGGUACCUGAAGAAUAAGCACCGGCUAACUACGUGCCAGCAGCCGCGGUAA
rnacentral:rRNA from 1 species